CCGAACCCCCUUGCUGCAACGUGGCUGGAAGCCAACCUUAGAGAAGGUGGCAGCGUCCUGCCUUCCGCCCAAAGUACACCAGGCUGUGAUGGUGGUGAAGCCCCCAGACUGUCCUGCCAUGAGUCACUCUGAGUCCCGAGAAGUGGUUCCCUUCUCCCUCUCCUGGCUAGGUGUUUCUAAUUGGCAUCUCUGGCCUCCCAGCCUUGGUCUCUGCUCUGAGAUGCAGAGUACCUGGCAGGCAUGGGUUUGAACUCCAGUCCGUGUGAGCCUGCAGUCCAUGCUGUUGCUAUACCAUCCUGCUAAGAACAGGAAGGUGAGUCAUCAUGGUGGCAAGGACCAAGCUUAUAGGGGAGGAGGGCAAACUCGAAGAUCAAGUGGUGUGGCCAGGCAUGCCUCCAGUGUGGGGAUGCAUCUUGGUCAGAGAUGGUAGCAUGAAGGCCCCUGGCCAGGCAGUGAUACAGGGACAUAAUGUAGAAAUAAGGCAAGACAAGGAAGGAGACGACAGGUCAUCAGUAAGCUCCCAAGCAGACUGAAGUGUGCUUCUGGCAUGUCCUCAGAACUUAUUCUCCAUAUAGAUGCCAGUGGGGCCUCUGCUGGCAUUUACCUCCUUCUUUGGGUCAGAGCAGCUAGAACUGCCUUUGGGGAAAUGCUCAACCCCCCAGCACCCGCACUCUCAGACUGUGAGGCUCUGAUGGGGCUGACCCUGUUGGUGCUCCCAGGAUGGGUAUGAUUCAUCCCAGCCUUGACCAAACCAAGCUGUGUAGCCUCCAGCUAGUGACUGGUUCAUGGAAGUGCACGUGGUCUGUGAGCCACUGAGAGGCAGCCCUAAGAUCAUUGCUAGGACUGCAGGGAAUUAAGUGCUCCCUUCUCUUUUUCUGCUCGGUUGGCUAAGCUAGGAAGUCACCUAAAGCUUCUGAGAAGGUGGGAGGAGGGGGGCACUUUUACCACCACGCAAGGAGAGGAUGUCUGAGGGUGAAGCCAGCAUAAGGGAGUCAGGACUGAGAGAUGGAGAGGAAGGGGUGAAUACAUUCUGGACAUCUUCCCAGUCCCUGGAUCCAGCUGUGCCUGAAGCCUGACCUCCUAUGACUGUUCAGUUACUCAAGCCAAUAAGUGGAAUAAUGGAAACCCCCAGUUUAACCCUUAAACCCCUUUGUGCUUAACCCAGUUUGAGAUGCAUUUGAGAGAAAGACUCCUAAUGUCUACAGCUCAUAGCCUUUUUGGAACAAGAAAGAAAGAACGGAACUCAGAAGCAAAAUAUGGAGAAAGAUGGAUGAGGGGAGAGCACGGAAUAACAGCAGGAGAAGGAAAGGAAGACAGGAGAGGGGAGGGGAGGAAAGAGGAGAGGAGAGAACGAGUGAGGAGAGUAACAGAAGGUGGCCCUGCACCCUCCAGGAGUGAGGCCAGCUGCUCCUGUCACCUCCUCUGCUAUUUAUAUACCUUGUGGCUCUCAACAUAACCUCACACCUGUUAUCCCUGCCCUUCAAACACUAAUUUGUUUUCCAACAUUUCAGAAAUGCUUUUCUUCCCUAAGAAACACUCUCUGCUGAUCCAGGCUCCUCAGUUUUGAAAUGCAAGUCCCCCCAGGAGGGGUAGUAAGAUGAACGAUAUUAACUGCUGAUGGGUGUGAUG
rnacentral:lncRNA from 10 species